rnacentral:rRNA from 1 species
AGCAGCAGCCGCGGGAAUACGAAGGGUGCAAGCGUUAAUCGGAAUUACUGGGCGUAAAGCGUGCGUAGGCGGUUUGUUAAGUCUGCUGUGAAAUCCCCGGGCUCAACCUGGGAAUGGCAGUGGAUACUGGCAAGCUAGAGUGUGUCAGAGGAUGGUGGAAUUCCCGGUGUAGCGGUGAAAUGCGUAGAGAUCGGGAGGAACAUCAGUGGCGAAGGCGGCCAUCUGGGACAACACUGACGCUGAGGCACGAAAGCGUGGGGAGCAAACAGGAUUAGAUACCCGAGUAGUCCCUGUCUCUUAUAC